rnacentral:misc_RNA from 1 species
CGGCGUUGAAGCAACGCCUCUAGUUGUCGAUGGCAUUAUGUAUGUCACAGCGUCGUGGAGCGUGGUGCAUGCAAUCGACGUCCGCACCGGCAAGAAGAUCUGGACCUUCGACCCCGAGGUUUCACGCUCUAUCGGCUACAAGGGCUGCUGCGAUGUCGUGAAUCGCGGUGUUGCGCUUCACAAGGGCAAGAUCUUCGUCGG